rnacentral:lncRNA from 1 species
UGCACUUCCUUUUCAUUGAGUUUGGAAAAGCCUACGAGAAGAUGUCGGUGCUCUCUAUAGACAUGAGCACUAAGACCGUGGAGUCAUUUUAUCUGUAUAUGGAUGGGAAUGAGAUCCUUCACGACUACAGUGGGUGCCUUCAACCCGACGACGACAUUGACUUCAUCAGCUCAACGUCCUCGUAUCCCACUCCCUUGCCCUUCCGCCCUUGUGAGUUCCCCAGGUUCUGCUAUUUAUCAAGGUAUGUAAUAUUGCUGCUGCCCUUUUAUAAAUAACUCAAUAGAUUUUGAUCGGUUCCAUAUUUGAAUAUUGCUGCUGCCCUUUUAUAAAUAACUCAAUAGAGAUUUUGAUUCUGCCGGUUCCAUAUUUGAAUAUUGCUGCAUAAAUUAUGCAAGUUUGUUGUCCAUGGCUUCAAUCUUGCAUUUUUGGCAUUUCAUAUGUUGUAGUGUAGCCUCUUUCUCCAACCUGCAGAAUACUAGCGAAGCCUGCAGCCUACUAAACAUUUGAGCCUUGAAGCUUAUGAUUGGAACAUAAGAGCUGCCUGCCAAUAUAUGCCUUCAUUUAUAUGCUGUUGGAAAUUACUAGCAGUUGGAACUCAAGUAUACUACCAUUUAACCUUCAAUGUUGUCUGUUUUUUUUUGCAAUUCUUUCCUAAGUAAACAACUUACUUCACGAAGCGCCGCCUUUGCAUUGCUAAGCCUUCUCUUGGUCGCAGUACAGAAGCAAGUUUAAUUUGAACAUCAUCCAUCUAGUUCAUUUUUAAUUCGUCACAGUAUUUAUUUAUUGCAGGAAGAGGAAGGAUAUGGAAUGAGUCACGUCUGCCAAUACUUCAUCCUACUUGUCGUGCUUUCUUCUAAAUGGUCAAAACUGAAGAAAGGCUUCUGUCCUGCGCCCGUCAACAAAACUGAAGGAGCUAUUUCAUGUUAAGUUGUGGCCCAGGAAGCAUCUAUCUUAUGGUCUUUACUUUCAUGAUGUAUGAAUGGAUAAGUUAGUUGUAUCAAGUUUAUUGUGUGUUCUGUAGGUUCGUCAAAAAAGAAGUUCGUCGUGUGUCCUGCUGUUUUAAGUACAAUCUUUAAUUUGUGUCAUUGUGUGGAUGUGCCACUUGGUUCUUGAACUUGCAUGUGUUGUACCAAGUCUGUAUGUGAAGUUUAAUCUCUAAGUUUGCUUGUGUUUAAUUUACCACGCACGAACACCAGAGAAAUUAAACGGCAAUACUGGAAAUCAAGGGCAUGUUUCAAUGUUGGCCCCAAGUGGCCAAGGCAAAGCAUGGGCCGAGGCCAAAAUUUGGCAGCUGAUUUGGCUGCCCCCAUUUGGCCAGUCUUCGCGCAAAAAUAAACUACAGAAGUCCGGUCAAGCCAAAUCGGCACCAUCAUGCAAACAUUGCUGAUACCCACGGCCAAUGGCCAAAUUUUGGCCGGGCCACUUGGGUUGGCAUCCAAACAUGCUCCAAAUAAUGCACAUCCAUGAAGGCCACUUGACUAGCAAUCAGAGGAUAAACAAUAGACUAUAACCUUUUGCUGCUGGACAAAAACUAAUAUUUCAUAACAGGAAUUUAGGAAUAUCAAUAUUGGCACUGCUCUACAUCAAAUUAGGCAGCAUAUAACACAUAAUAAUCUGUAACUGUUUACAACACAAUAAGAAGGUGAGGGUGGAAAAUUGACAUUUAAUUUACGAUUGGGGGGUAAAAGGAGAAAGAUAUAUCUUCUUCACCAUGCUCUGGUUGGUGUAGCUACAUUCAAGGAGUUCAUAUCUAAGAAAAAUCAGUUGUACCCAUAGCAAAGUAGAAAAGGAUGAGUCUGCCAACAGAUAUUUUUGCCUGUACCCAGGACAAAAAAAAAAAAGGAACCAUGCACAACCAGGAGAAACGAAGAGAAAAGAUUGGCUUGCAAACUCACCAGGUAAGUAAACCAGGUACUUGUGUAAGCGAACAACACACCGCAAAUAUCUUCUGAUCGAAAAGCUGCAAUUAACCAAAGCAAUCAACCAAAAAGUUAUAUUAGUAUUUAUGUCAUGACAGUAAAGCAAAAAGGAUAGGAGAAUACUUUGCAGUAUUAAACUACAACACCAAGAUAUUUAAGAAAGUAGGCUGGUGGUAAUAUAUAACUGAUUCACGAUGAGUCAUUCGAGCUCACUUAGACUUAUCAGCAGCAACAAGACCACCAAAUCUUUAACGGCGCAAGAAACACAAAGCAAAGACGUGAUUCCCUCUCGUCGAGCGAAGCCUCCAGAAUGAAGAAAACAUAGAUAUUCUGAAAUUAGCAGUGUUCUGAAUCCCGGGUCCAUACAAAAUUACAAAAGAGCAUAAUCAUUUCGUUUUCAGUAAACAAUGGAAACAAUGGAACAGUACGAUCAUUAUUUUGACCCUUUGCAAAAGAUCAGGCAGCCUGUUCAUUUGAACCAAGAUCAUUCUACAUUUAAUUUUCUUUUGUGCAUAGGGGAGUCAUGAAUCUCUAUAUAUGUUGGUGAAAAGAAAAUAGGAUUUAGAAUAUAAUCAGUUUUGAACGUGAACCUGCAGAAGCUAUCGACUGAAGAUUGAAGCUUCGAAUAAAAAUCAUCUAAUUAGUGCCCUCGAAUCAUAGCCCUGAAGAUUGAAGCUUCAUAUAAAAAAACAUCCCAUUAGUGCCUUGGUUUGGAUUUCAGCUUGACUGCACCAUUAAUUCGGAAUAAACAAUAUUACCACAGCUAGAUGACCUUGAUACGCCUUUCUUCUUCAUCUUCUUUCUCUAUUUUACUUCCUAAACAGUGUUGGUUUGACCUUCGCAGUGCCGUCUACUUGUCCACCCUUUCACCAAUGUCAUCCUCUCCACCUCGCUGCACUCUUCUUCUACCUGACAUUGCCUGCCUCUAAAUCUACACUGACGUAUCUCAGCAGCCAUUUCUUCUUUUCACCUGGACCUGGGCACCUGGCACUGCAACAGCUCAGGUUGCCAAUAAUAGGAUUCCAAUCGAAGUGGUCUGUACAGGUUAGAGGGUAUGGGAGGUUUGGACUUAAAUAGAAUCGGAUGACCAAACCUAAUUGGAUGGCAAAAGCAGGUGUAUGUGCACGUUGUGUUGGAGAUGAAUGAACAGAGAGGAACAACAAGAACUCACAGUACAUAGCGACCAUCAAGGUAGCAUGUCGUGAAGCUGAAAGCCGGAACGGGUACUCGCGCUGUCGCCCAGUCUGCAAGCCGGACCUCGACGGGCAUCACUUGUCUAGGCCGCUGGAGGCGUAGGGCAUGGCGAGAGGAGCAAGCUCUGCAUUUCAACAGCAGGACGUAAUAAUAUUUUGACUGAAUGAUCAUCUGCCAUUUAUCAGAAUUACUGAGCCUCCGGAUACUAGCUAGCAUAGAUGCCAACCGCUGCCGCUCCACGACGUCGUUGUCUUUGCUGCCUAGGAGGGGGUUGGCCGGUGGCCGGCGAUAGCCGGAUCCCCUAGAGCAUCAGAGGUGGUGGUCGGCGGCUGUUGCAUCGAGCAAAGGAUUGGACGGUGAGUGCUCCGGAGUCUGGCGUCAAGCAGACAUGUGGGCCUUCGACUAAUUGGACCUAAUGCCAAACAUAACAGCUCGAGUACUCACAGGCCCAAUUGGCCCAUAAAGCCACCUACUCCUGUUCUCCUUUCUUCUUCCUUGCCUCAAUGCCAACUCCGGCGCGUUCGUUUCGAUUGGAAGCGGCAAGAUGUCCGGCGAGGAGGAGAACGCUGCCGAGCUCAAGAUCGGCGAAGGUUCGCUCUCCUUUACCUCUCCCAUUCUCCUCCCCCGUUUUCCCUCCCCAAAUUCUGGGCGGCGAGGAGGAGGUGGCGAUCAUCCUGGAGCACAAGUACGAGCAGAUCCAGCAGCACGUGUCGGAGUCGGACCCGUCGUCGCAGGUGUCCCAGGUGUUCGAGAAGUCACUGCAGUACGUGAAGCGCUUCAGCCGCUACAAGAACCCCGAUGCCGUGCGCCAGGUCCGCAAGACGCUCAGCCGCUACGGCCUCGCCGAGUUCGAGCUCUGCACGCUCGGCAACCUCUGCCAGGACACCAGAGGCGAGGCCACCGCGCUCGUACCAUCCCUCAAGUCCGGGGGGAGGUUCGUCGGCAAAGCCGGCAAUGAGAAGAUAGAGAAGAUGCUCACCGACCUCUCCCUCAUCAAGAAGUUGGAGUAGAGAGUGCCAUGGGCGUGCCUUAUUCAGUUCUUCAGUUUCCCUAGCUGUGCGUGUGACCUGUGAGACUUUUCUUAGCAGGUGACAAUGUAGUAGAAUUCCUACUGAUCAUCAAUGUUCUUCAGUUUCCCUAGCUGUGUGUGUGUGACCUGUGAGACUUUUCUUAGCAGGUGACAAUGUAGUAGAAUUCCUACUGAUCAUCAACGUUACAGUUAGUCAACUUGAUCUGCCUCGAUCCUAUAUUCUUGAUGUAUCGUUAUCCAAGUUAAAAGUCCAUAUGCUAUACUCUUUGUUUCAAAUUCUGCACGAAAAGCUAGAAUUGAGUUGAAAAGUAAUCCUUUGGUUAUGGAUGCUUCCUAAAGGUUUGGUUUCCACUUUCCAGUUCUCUGGACUUCUCAUCUAGUAGAGUGCUACCUCCAGUGUUAAAUGUUGGUAACUUGGUAGGAACAUGAAGCAUGCAACAGCUUCAAUCCUCUCCAGCAAAGCCUUGGAGUUGGAAUCCAAACUGAUCCUUAUUCUAAACCACAUCCGUGAUGCUUACAGGAACUACACAGCACAGAAUGCAAGAAGCUCAUAUCUUACAUGCAGUCCUUGGUGACUGUGAGACUUUUAUCAAGAGAGACUUCCCAGGUGAAGAUGUACUAGAGUUUCUACUGUUCAUCUGCUUUCGCAUUAUCUUGAUCUAUUCUGACAAGAGUCCCGAUCAUGAUCUGUUAAGAGAACCUUGUUCGUUUCAUAUGUAUAUGAAUAUGAUUGCAUUUUGUUCAUAAUUCUGCACAAAAAGACCUCCAUUCAGUUAAUUGAAUUGAAGAGCAAGCCUCUGACGAAUGCUCUCAGGUAAAGAGAGCAGCUUUGGUUCUCUGUUCUCAUGUUCUGUGAUGCAACCUAUAUUACUGAACAUAUCAUACAUAUGAACAUGAAUAGAACACCCUGCAAUUCAAGCAGGCAAACUGAGCCUGAUUCUGAACUUCACGUCACAAUGAUUUCGAGACAUCUGUAACACUACAGUAACUGCACAGCGCAGACACCAAGAGGCACACAUCUUAUAUAUAUAUAGUUACAAGUGAUUCAUUCUCCUUCUAUCACAUAUCUACUGAAUCAAUCCAAAUGGACGAUUCUAUAAGACAUUUGAUAUUCAUUUCACUAGUAGACAGUAACAGGUGACAAUGCCUCAUGGCCAGGAGAUGCUGGGGGAGAAGAAGCGCUAGCUUGCUUCCUACGAGCACCAGUUCCAGCAGCCAAAUGAAGGCGGUACCCGGCCGGUUCUCCUGAUGUGUUAUGCCUGCUCAGCUGUCCUUGCUGCCGCGCGGUUCCUUUUCAGCUCCGCUGCAGCACGCUUCUCAUCUGCAUUGUGCCUUGCUGAUGCAAGCUGGGUCAUCAGCUUGUCUUUAGCACGGGCACGCAUCCUCUCCACUUCAACCUUUAGGAACACAAAACCAUUAGUGCUUCGUUGAUAUGUACAAUGGAACAUCCACAUAAUCGGUGUUAAGAAAAUCUGAAUUUGCAAUUGGUUUUAUAUGUUCUGAACCUUAACUUCUCGGGCAUAUGGUGCAAGAGAAUAGGGGCAGCAGAAUAACAAACUAGAAUAAGCUAGUGAACCUGCCAUACUAUAUCUGAAUGAGACAAAAUAUUCUUAACUUGCUAUGUUGCAUCCGAAAGGCUUUGUUUUGUUGAUAUGUCAUAUCCAAGAUUAAAUGGAAUUAUGGAAGGACAAAUAAGCUAAUACCAAGUGUUAUGCUGAUGCAAGAGAAAAAUCGUGCCCUGGUUCAGAUAGGCUGAUGCAAGAUUAAAGGACAAUGGUUCUAAGUGUUGUUUUGGGCUAAUUUUUUUCUAUAAUUAUGGUGUUAUUACUUAUUUUGUCUUAGGAUCUUUAUAUUCUAAUUGUCAGUGGCAGUGGCAGUGACCAGACGAUCGAAUAAUUUCAUCCUCAGCAAAUUGAAGGAAAGCCCUAAAGGGCAAUGAUACGCAUUGAAUUAAGAUAAAUAAUAGCUGGAGGAGGUGGUAAGCUGCAAAGUUAGAGCUGUUGCAUUUUAACACCAUUCCUGUCGCAUGCAUGUCAUUACCAUUUUCAUUAAUUAGAUAGAUGCGUUGUGUUUGUGGGUAACCGUUAACUCAAAUGAAACUAACUAACUGCAGACCGACUACUCUAGCUACUUUCAUUGGUCCAUGGCAAAAAGAAUAAACUACUACUAUUGUAAUGAACAAUUACAUACCGAUCCUACACAUUCCAUCUUGUUUAUUAGCUAGGAAUGGAAACAAUUACAUACCUCCUUUUGGUGUCCUGGCCACUAACAUCACGAUGUCGCUGGGGUGGCACAGGGUAUGGGUUGGGAGCUCGUAGCUGUUGUAGAGUCAGACACAAAUAAAUAUACGAUCCAACAAGUCUUUUGCUACAUGCAGCUAGUUCAAUGCAGUGCGUACAGGGGGUGAGUGUUGAAAUAUGCAAUGCGUAUUUGGAAUAUUCUAGAAGAUUGUGGAGAUCUCAAGAGACUAACUUUGCCAUAUAUAAGGAUAAGAUCAUGGCAAGGUAAGAAGGUUCUAGAAAAUUGGAAAGAAUACAUGAGCCAUAAUUGUCAUGCUUCAUGGUGAAGUGUAGAAUACUCAAACUAGAUAUUUUAGUAUGGUAGAAAUAUAAGAAACUAGAUAAGGAUGAGGAGGGUUCUAGAGUUAGGAUAUUUUGUAUUCAAGAGUGUGAAAAUUGCCACAUGGCAAUAUCACAAUGAUCAUGAACACUUAUAAAUAGAGGUGCUCCCCUCCCUCCUAAUCGAUUUUUCAACAGUGAGCGAGGCCAAUUAUUAGCAUAUACAUACAUAAUGUAGUGUAAUUAAUAAAGACUAGAUAGUCAGCUGAGAGACACGACUUACCGAAAGCCUUUAGGCUUAUGACUAUAUUUGCAUUAAAAGGCUAAAGUUUAGCACCAACUCAACCAAACAAGAGAGUUAAUCGGUGGGUUAAACUUUAGUAAAACUUGAAAAAUUGUAAAAGCAUAAGCUAGGAUAAACUUUAGUUAAGCUAAAAAAGAUGUAAAAGUAUUAUUUAGGAUAAAAGGAUUCUGACUUGUCAAACUAAUAGCUUGGAGAGCAGCAAGUUGAGGACCUGUGACAUGAGGACCUGUGACAUGAUGCUGAUUCUGGGUUGUAUGGGACCUCAUAAUCCGAGCCUAUAUUGAAAUUAUAGGUCUAAGUAAGAAGGUCACUUUCUUGAACCCCAACUCUCCAAUCAUUGCCAAAACUAGCAACAACUGCAUCACAGAUGGUAUGAUACUUUGAAUCAGCAAUCUUGGAUGAAGAGAAAUCAUGCAACUCCUUAAAUAAGUGAGGGUAAGAGACCAUAGGAAUAAGAAGUAGAUGUAUUGAAAAAAUUGCACAGUCCUCAAACCUAUUACUCAUCAACCAGAGCAGAUGAUCCAUAUCUGCUCAAACCUAUUACUCAUCAACCAGAGCAGAUGAUCCAUAUCUGCUAGUAGCCAAAGCCUCCCACAAACAUUAAACAAUUUUAAAAUCAAAUCCGCAACUGCCUUGUAAUUAAGUCGUAGACGAGCAUUAAUUGAUGCAUCAUCCAAAUCUUGCCUUGUGAGAAUAUGGAUGCAUCUCAGCUUUACCUUCCCUGAGGGAUACACGCGAGAAGAUCAACACAACCUCCUUCCAGCUCAAUCUUUCUCAAAGUCUUGAUCGAAGAUCUUGAAACCUUCUUACUGAUUUCAGAAUCAAGAUAAUAAGAUUUGUAACUAUGCUCACCAGGAAGAGUUGGUAUACCAUCUGUGCAAUUGGUUUUGUAAUUAGUCUAUGUUUAAUACUCCUAUUAGUAUCUAAACAUUCAAUGUGACAGUAUUUAAAGAACCAAAAUGGAGGUGCAUCUGAAAGCAAGUUGGCAUCUUAGGACAAUUGUUCUUUUUUUUUUGUCAAUGCAUUCUGGUCUGCACUCGAGCUACCUAUCGAUCUCACAUUGAAUUGCGGCACACAAGAGUACAAGAGAAACAACCAAAAGAUGUUGGUAAGCCAACAAGAGGUAGCAUGUGUCCUACACAAAGAGAAUUCACAGAUCAGCAUAUGCCAUAGAAAACAAAUGGACCAAAAUCACAGCAGACACUAGCAACAAAAUAGAGGGUAGAGGUUACCUAGGAACAUUAAGAGUAAGUCAUCAAGCAUCAGUUGAUUCAGAUCAUAUCCCAUCCGGUGAAGAUGAAUCUGAAGAUCAAUCACAUCAACCUCAAACUGUGUGAGCAUAGCUGGAUUCUGACUAGUCAAACACACAACUUUGAGAGCAGCUUUCUGAGUACAUGUGACACGACGCUGAUUCUGGGAGUUGCGUGGGACCUCAUAAUCCGAGCCUCCAUUGAAAUUAUAAGUCUCACAAAGAAGGUCAUUUUCUUAAACCCCAACUCUCUAAUCAUUGCCAAGACCAGCAACAAGAGCAACAAAGAUGGCCUGAUACUCUGAAUGAUCAAUCUUGGAUUCCAAGAAACUAUGCAACUCCUUGAAUAUGUGAGAAUAAGAGAUCAUUAUAAUAAGACCAACAUGUAUUGGGAAAAUUUUCCGAUCCUCAAAGUGAUUAUUCAUCAGCCAGAGAAGGAGAUCAAUGUCUGAUGGUAGACAAAGCCACCCACUGACCAUAAACAAUUUCCAAAUCAAAUCCGAUGUUGCCCUGGUAAUUAAGAUAAAUAAUAGCUGGAGGAGGUGGUAAGCUGCAAAGUUCUCUACAAUGAUAUUCAAACUCCCCUGUGAUUAAUAUUUUUGUUAAGCUUUGCUACUCAACAGCUGAACAACUUCCCAUGCAGGGAUUAUCUAAUAUACGCAUCGUUCUGCCAAGCUGUGGUAAGAAGAAUAAAAUAAGGAUUCUAAAUAUUACAAAGGAGAGGAAAACACAUCUCAACUAAAAGAGGCAAACUGGGCAGGGAUCCAUGGCCAUGGUGACUUUGAAUGAAAGGAAAUAAGAUGCUUACUUCAAUUUUUCUCAUUUCAGCUUCAAUUUUGGCCUUUUGAUGAUCCUCCCAUGCUUGGAUCUUGAUCUCUUCUCGUUUGAACCUUGAAAGCAGAAGGCACAGCAUAUAAUUAAGUCACCAACCAACCAGAGAAUUUAAAAAUGUAGAUGUAAGACACUUAGAUAUAAGCACCUGGCCAAGUAUUUGGCCUUUUCCGCUUCCUCCCAAGCAGCUGCACGCCUGCACGGACUUCAGUUAUGUUCUGUGUUGAUUGGUCCAUGGGCACUGUUUUCAGUGCAAGGGAUGCAUCCUUUUCCUCUUCCUUCUUGCUUGCCCAUACUGCAAUAUUUGUCUUACCAAGCUGUGUGCCAAGAAGCAUUAUCUCCUUCCUAGUUUUUGUUUGCAGAUCCUGUUCACUUAAUUCGGCAUUGCUACAUUCUCCAUGGCUGCUAACAGCUCCAACUGCAUUGGGACCUAACGUCCUUCGUGGAGUUGUUGGCCGAGAACAAUUUGGACUUGUUGCUCUCACUGGUGUUCCUGUCCGGGAUGGUUCUUGGCUUGCAAUAGGAGUCAUUUCAGUGCCCAUAUCCCUCAUUGAUACUGACCUAACUGUUGAUGGAGGAGGUAUGCAUGUUGUUGCGCUUUGAAGUGGGGUGGAUGAAUCAUUACGAUCAAAAGUAACUGCACCCAUUCAAAAAAAAUCAACUAUAAGGAAUUUGAAUAAUCUUCGGUUGCAUUUGCACCUUAAUUACAACAUGAGAAGUGGGGAGACUAGCAUUUUUUCAAUGAAAAUACGUGUCACAACAUGUUCUAGCGUUUUUGAGGUUUGGUUAAUUAGCUCUGAAUAUUCUUCACUAUUAUCAUGGUGGCGGGCGACACAAGUGUUGGAGCUGCCUACCUUCCGAGUGCAACUUGGACUCUGAAUGCCGAUGAUGCCGUCCCAACCUUGCCUUCCACUUCUGCUAUCCGGCAGAAAGGCCUCCUCGAUCUUCCGGCCAAUAUGGCAAGCAUCAGUCACGCUACACUGAGCAUCUUUGCACUAUACCACUGCAUGUUUAUAAAACGAAAGAUGGCACUUCCUUGUCCUCUUGGACGAGAGGUCGCUGCUAAACCAAACUGACACCGCAACUAAAUGCGGAUAUCUUUUUUUUCUAGAAUACGCAGGAGAGCUGCGUAUCUUUGUAUUAAGAAGAUAAGAAAAUUUUCUUACAACGCGGAUCUACCAGGCGCACGUACACGGCUAGGAUACGGUGUUACAUGAUGGAAGCUGAAACAACCAAAAGCACACAACUCAAAGGAAACAAAACAGCCAAGAUGCUGGUUCAAACUGUCGGCCAACUGAAAGCAGCAACUUGCUUUGCGCCAGCCGCGCUCCAGAGGUUAGCCUCGUCAGUGAUAUCAGCAACCAGUUGGAUGGGCGUUUUUAGUGCUGCUCUUUGGAAGAUCCGAUCGUUGCGCUGCUUCCAAAUCCUCCAGGACACUAGCAUGAAGAUUGAGUCCAUUCCUUUUCUCUUGUCAUCGCUGAUCCUCUCCCUUUUUUCCAGCCACCAAUCUGACAAGGAUUUGUUUGGCGACGGCGGAGUGUUCUGAAUGUUCAAAGACAGACUGAGAAUGUGCCAUACUUGCUGCGUGAAGCUACAUCUCGCGAGCAGAACCAGGCAUGUAUAUAUGCAGUGUUCUGAUAAUCACGUGUGUCGCUUUCGACUUGACCCUUUACCAGAGCCAUUAAUUCUCGAGCUGAAUGAUAAAAAGCCGGGCAAAACCAGGCAUGUAUAUGUGCAGUGCAAGGUUCCAAAUCACUGGUAUUUCUUUCUGAAGAAAAUGCCAAUGCUAUUAAUUUGGGGAAAAAAGUUUUGGUGACAGAGAUGAUUGAGAUGAAAUUAGCCAUGUAAAUUGAGGAAGAACACAGCGUUGACGCUCGUUAUUGACACCUAUUUGAAUAGUGUUUUCAUGCAUAUUCUUGUACUGACCCGCCACUUGGCACCUGAAAUAACCCCAUAUUUGUAUGUGUUGUGUUUUGGACUAUAUUGCAAAAUCACAGAAAAUAUGACAUAAAUGAAGGGUUUUUCUACAAGUUGGAUUUGAACUUGGACUUUGGACAACACGAGAAGUCUACACGGGAAAGACAAGGAUUAGCGGAGACCAAAAGAGGGUAGGCUGAUCGGCCCAGGACACAUAGGCCGAUCAGUCUAGACCGAUUCACUGUCUAAAUGUGUCCACAUUCGAUGAACCAUCAUUCAGAUAACUUAGAGGCAAAGUAUGUAGUGAUUUGGCAAGUCAGUCUCGUGGUCAAGCUAAGGGAAACUCAAGGCUGGAAGGUCAUAAGGCCCGUAGAAGCAGCAGAACUUGCACAAGGCAUCUCCCUCGUCCGGACUCCGAUUGGGACAAAUUUAAUGUCUAAAUUGCAUAGCUCAAAAAGAUCUACAACUUUCAUAUAGAAAGUUUUGGCAUCUGAGGCCGGGAAGGAGGCAAUAUCGCCUAGGCUGAUCGGCCCAACGGGCCUAAGCCGAUUGGCCUAGCCGUUUCUAGUCCCGAUCGAUGUGCCCUUGUUGACGGCUGUUAGCAUGCCAAGUUGUGAACCGCAAGCGCACGGAUCAGUUGUAACUCUUCCCCUCAGAGUACUCCCCCAUGGUUUAUCAAUUCAUGGAAUUUAAAGUACAAGAUCUAUUUUAACUAGCAUUAUUAGUAUGGACUUGGUAUUGAUGAGUGAUUCAGAUCUAAUCUACUAAACAUGUACAUACAGAUAACAUAUAGAGUAGAGAUAAUUAAUCUAGAGUAACCUAGACUAUGCAUAUGUUGUAAUUCCGAGCAUAUGUUGUAUUUUCUGCAGCAAUUGUAGUCUUUGAAUAAGGCUCCACUUCUGGAUAGGGAUCAGGUGGAGCCCAAUUUACAGCUUUCUGCCACCCAAUUUCCCUCUUCUCUUGGCUUGGAUCAAUCCUCUUAGUAUCUAUCUCCUCCGUGGCCUCCAACACAACCUUUGUUGCUGGUAGCCUCCCAAUGCCAGAGCUAGGUUUCUCCAUCUUCCAGGGUACUGCCCCACCAGCAGCCCUGCUAGGACGGUUUGUUGUCGGGCUGGCAAUCCAUUUCUGCGCAUCGUCCCACUUUGAUGGAGCAGGCUUUGAGAAGGGAGGAACAACUGAUGCUGCCGCUGACCGAGCGGACGUCCCUCGUUCCUUGUGGAAUUCAAAGUUAGAAGCCACACUCUGAGUCACACGAAUCCUCCUCGGGCACCCUGACCCUGAAGCCAUGGAGUGGGUAUCUCGCGACCGGUGCCCACCCCCUGUCUCAAGCGAGGUUGAAGAUUCAGAGAUGGUGCUCACCACAUCUACAUCUCAAAGCCCAAUGGCCCAAACUGCAUACAGCCUCGUAUACAAACAAGUAGCCCAUCAUCAGCAGCGGUAGCGUCAUGCGACAUGUUGUGUAUGGGUCAACAAUUUGGACCGUGAGGAAACGAAUUAGGCUUGAAGCAGAGGCAAAAAAUGUACCAAUAAAAGUAGUGACUUUUUUUUAGUUAGAAAAAUCCAUUUUUACUAACUAUAACGAAAAAAGUAGUUAACUACUGCUUAACAACUUAUAUACAUAUAAAAAAAUAUCCUAAUAUCUUUUUCCUUCCUUGAAUCUUUUAGUUUUAGUCAUUUCAUGAAAAAUUUUAUACUAUAAAUUUCUUCUUAUCCAUAAUGGAUUUACCUGGACCAAUACAUGAGAUUCUUGUGCUAUUUGGGGGAUUUAUUCUUCUACUAGGGGGUCUUGGAGUAAGUAAUUAUUACUUACCAACCCAAUUUAUUCAGCCUUUUCGCUGGGAUUAGUUCUUGUUUGUAUAUCCUUAUUCUAUUUUUUAUUGAAUUCCUACUUUGUAGCUGUCGCACAACUUCUUAUUUAUGUGGGAGCUAUAAAUGUCUUGCUCGAAAUCAUAAACUUUGAUCUUAUGAUAUUGUAUUAGUGGAUGACACUGCAUUUCAAGAGUUUAGAGUUUAGGUAUAUAUAUGGCAUCCGAUGCAUUUCAAGAGUUUAGGUAUAUAUAUGGCAUCCGAAGCCAAGUUUAAUGAGUAAAAUUUGCAUUUUGAGAGUACAGGGACUUAAGUGACACCUGAGCCCAAGUUUAGGGAGCUAGAUAUGCAUUUUUUGCGAGUACGGGGUCUAAGUGAUACAGCCGAACAAGUUGAAGGACCAGCCAUGCAUUUUACUCUAAAGAUAUUGUUCCAUGAGGCAUCAUUUACCGUGUCUAUAGCUGUUCCGAAGAGCUGGGACGCCCUGCGCUUUUCAGGUUGAUCAGGAAACACCUGAAAUCGACUAGAAGAGAGCAAACGAGCAUGGUUUUGCACUUCUAGAGCGUAUCUGCAUCAGUGAUGGCGUAUGAAGCUUGAACUUACUAUACAGGACCUAGUCCUCUUGAGCUCUUUAAGCUUCCUUGCAACAACAGGAGCAAGCUGGAUGUUGGCAUCGAUGAACUCAUCUGAGGAUCCCUACAGAAGUAAGCAGGAUGAUCAGAAACAGUAGUAGGCCAAGUACCAUACAUAUGUAAUACAGUAAUAGCAGAAAUCGACCUGGUCUUUUCUGGAAAAAAAGAAGUGACAAAGGCUAGCAAAAAAUCAGUAUUGUUGAUAAAAAAUAAACUCUCCCAAAUCAGAAAUGCAUACUUCAACAUUGUAGUAUACAGAUUACAGAGGUAUCAUUCCCUGCAUCAAUCGUAUGCAUCUCUAAUUCGAUAUAAUCAAUCAUCGUACGUCAGAAGUACAAAGUUCAGUGUGGCAACAAUUGGUGCCAAAACUAGUAAGAAGAGAUGACGCAGAAUGAGCAUAUUGUGAUGAGUAGGUGUACCUUGUAAGAAGAGAUGCUGCUUGGCAGAGGCCUUGACAUCGUCAAAAUUCAGAAGCAGAGCCACCCACGAACAAGGCGUGAACCAGCAAGGAAACGAGCGAUGAUGAGAAGAUAAUGCGGGCACGGGGACAGCGACGCAGCAAAACGAAGAGCGGCGAGCUGGGAACUCGAUCUCGAGGCGGGUCUUGCCGUCGUCGAUGGCGCAGGCGAGGGAGCGCGCGGCGUCGGAGACGAGCACGUCGUAGGAGCGCGGCUUGUACACGGACACCCCGGCCCUGAGCGCCUCCACGUCCCCCAUGCCGGUCCCCGUCCCCGCCUCAGCGCGUGGGGAGACGGCCAGGCGGCGGGGCCGGAGCCGCGAGGAGGUGGCCGGCAGUCGGGGCGGAGAGGGAAAGGAGAAGGGCACGCGCGGCAGGCGGAAGUGCCGGGCGCAGAGAGCCGUGGGCGCCGGGGCGGCCAUGGCUGUGCGAUCCAGCAGCGUCGAGGAGGAAGAUAGCAGACGACAACACAGCCACACGCUGGCGCGAGGCCAAUCGAAGCUACUGUCUUCGGCAGGUGGGGCCGAGUCAUUGCAAAUGAAGCAAAAGUCUCGUGCCUCCCGAGUGCGAAGAGAGCAUGAGCUACACCCCCACUUCUGUCCUCGACUCAAUGCAUUCGCGGCAAGCCGGCGAGACGAUUGGAUUCCUUUUGCAUCGAUGCUUGCGCCAAUAGAAACAAGCACUUUCUUACAACGUAGGGGCUGUUUGGAUACGAGGUGCUAAACUUUAACAGUGUCACAUCGGAUGUUCGGAUGCUAAUUAGGAGGACUAAACAUGAUCUAAUUAUAAAACUAAUUGCAGAACCUUGUGCUAAUUUGUGAGACGAAUCUAUUAAGCCUAAUUAAUCCAUCAUUAGCAAAUGGUUACUGUAGCACCACAUUGUCAAAUCAUGGACUAAUUAGGCUUAAUAGAUUCGUCUCGCGAAUUAUACUCCAUCUGUGCAAUUAGUUUUGUAAUUAGCUUAUGUUUAGUACUCCUAAUUAGCAUCCAAACAUCCGAUGUGACAGGUGUUAAAUUUUAAUAGGGUGUUCCCAAACACCCCCGUAGUACAAACAUCAGGAUUUUCUUAACUAGCAUCGUCAAGCCCACGUCAGUGGGUGUCACCUCCUCUGCAAGCAGCACAAAGUAAAGUAAAGCAAUAUAAGUGGGCGUCACCUCCUCUGCACGCAACACAAAGUAAAGUAAAGCAAUGUAAACAAAUACAUUAGAGUAUGCAUAACAAAAUUGACUGUUUCACCUGCUACCUACCACCUAUGCACUAACCACAUCACACCACCAAUCGUAAGGGUGCCCCGGAUGAUGCUCCCCACCACGAUCCCAGCCAACAUCCCACCAGACAUCCAGCAGGCCGCUGCGUCUCGAGCAGCGGAGGGCUAGGCGGUGGCGGCUGGCGGGGCGGAGGAGUUGGGGAUGAUGGCAGUGGAGGGGGAGGAGGGGUAUCAGCCGGCGGUUGCAACUGCCUCCUUGCGGCUCCCGCACGUGCCGUAAAGCAUCCACACCGAGUCGAUGCUGAGGUUGGCUUCGGCGAAGGCGCUGUACUCACCGACGUUGUAGAGACAGCCGCGGUCUGGGUUGUCUACAGUGUCCAGCAACGCCAAGCAGUAGCCUGGAGGAGGAACGGUUGUUAAGAAUGUAUACUGCUCCGCCACCCUCGCCGCAAGAGUAGAGCUGUUGCAUUUUGGCGCCAUUCCUACCCAUGCAUGUCAUUACCAUUUUCAUUAAUUAGAUAGAUGCGUUGUGUUUAUGGGUAACAGUUAACUCAAAUGAAACCAACUAAAUGUAGACCCACUACUCUAGCUACUUUCAUUGGUCCAUGGCAAAAAGAAUAAACUACUACUAUUGUAAUGAACAAUUACAUACCGAUCCUACACAUUCCAUCUUGUUUAUUGGUCAGGAAUGGAAACAAUUGCAUACCUCUUUUUGGUGUCCUAGCCACUGACGCCACGAUGUCGCUGGGCCGGCACGGGGUACGGGUUGGGAGCUCGUAGCUGUUGCAGAGUCAGACACAAAUAAAUAUAUGAUCCAACAAGUCUUUUGUUGCAUGCAGCUAGUUCAAUGCAGUGCGUGCAGGGGUGAGUGUUGAAAUAUGCAAUGCAUACUUGGAAUAUUCUAGAAGAUUAUGAAGAUCUCAAGAAACUAACUUUACCAUAUAUAAGGAUAAGAUCAUGGUAAGAUAAGAACGUUCUAGAAAAUUGGAGAGAAUGCAUGAGCCAUAAUUGUCAUGCUUCAUGGUGAAGUGUAGAAUGCUCUAGAACAAGAUAGUUUAGCAUGGUAGAAAUAUAACAAACUAGAUAAGGAUGAGGAGGGUUCUAGAGUUAGGAUAUUUUGUAUUGAAGAGUGUAAAAACUGCCACAUGGCAACAUCACAAUGAUCAUGAGCACCUAUAAAUAGAGGUGCUCCCCUCCCUCCUAGCCGAUUUCUUAACAGUGAGCGAUGCCAAUUAUUAGCAUAUACAUGCGGAACGUAGUAUAAUUAAUAAAGACUAGAUAGUUAGCUGAGAGAGACGACCUACCAAAAGCCUUUGGCUUAUGACUAUAUUUGUAUUAAAAGGCUCAAGUUUAACACCAACUCAACCAAACAAGAGAGUUAAUCGGUGGGCUAAACUUUAGUUAAACCCAAAAAUUGUAAAAGAAUUAGCUAGGAUAAACUAAAUGUAAAAGCAUUAGCUAGGAUAAACUUUAGUUAAGCCAAAAAAGAUGUAAAAGUAUUAUUUAGGAUAAACUUUAGUCAAAUACAUAUUUGGUCAGAUAUAUGCAUCAUUUUGACAAGAUGUGGUAAGAGGAAUAAAAUAAGGAUAGACAUUCCAAUGGAAGUUCGAAACCAUAGACAUUCCAACAGAGACCAACAGAGACCAUAAGCAUAGCAGUUCUAACUACCACCUGCAUCACUACUACUACCAAUUAGGGGGUCCAUUCCUACAUAAACAUAGCAACUCAAACUACCACCUGCAUCACUACUACUACCAAUUAGGGGGUCCAGUCAUAGGGUUCUGACUUUACAUGUAGUCUCACACCAAAGAGUAUGACUUUACAUGUAGUCUCACACCAAAUAGUAUCCAGUAGAAUGCCAAAAAGCUAGCGAGGCACUCUACCACUUAAGUCUUGCUAACUGCACUCCUCAGCCACCAUCUCUGUCCUACAAAAACAAAGAGUGCAGAUCAGUACACAGCAUAGGAAUUGGACAGCUCAUAAUCACAGCAGAGGUUACCUAGGAGAACAUUCAGAACAAGUCAUCCAACAUCUUCGGAUCAUAUCCCAUCCGGUAAAGAUUAAUCUGAAUUUCCGCUACAACUCAAGGAAACUUCACUCUAGUGAUGAUCUCAAUACUGAUGGCAGAGAAAUCGUACAUCAUCUGAUUCCAAGUACCAUAAAUAGCUGCUAUGGCUUCCAUACGAUGUGCCAACCGAUUCCUCAGGAAAUUCAGAAGUUUGUGACCAUUGAUCACAUCAAUCUCAAACUGUGUGAGCAUAAGAGAAUUCUGACUUGUCAAACUAACAGCUUGGAGAGCAGCAAGUUGAGGACCUGUGACAUGAUGCUGAUUCUGGGAGUUGUAUGGGACCUCAUAAUUCAAGUCUAAAUUGAAGUUAUAGGUCUCAGUAAGAAGGUCACUUUCUUGAACCCCAACUCUCCAAUCAUUGCCAAAACUAGCAACAACUGCAACACAGAUGGCUUGAUACUCUGGAUCAACAAUCUUGGAUGAAGAGAAAUCAUGCAACUCCUUGAAUAAGUGAGGGUAAGAGACCAUAGGAAUAAGAGCAGAUGUAUUGGAAAAAUUGCACGGUCCUCCAACCUAUUCCUCAUCAACCAGAGCAGAUGAUCCAUAUCUGUUGGUAGCCAAAGCCUCCCACGAACAUUAAAUAAUUUUAAAAUCAAAUUCGCUACUGCCUUGUAAUUAAGUCGUAGACGGGCAUUAAUUGCUGCAUCAUCCAAAUCUUGCCUUGUGAGAAUAUGGACGCGUCUCAGCUUUACCUUCCCUGAGGGAUACACGCGAACUUUGCCUUCAGUGAGAAGAUCAACACAACCUCCUUCCAGCUCAAUCUUUCUCAAAGUCUUGAUCAAAAAUCUUGAAAACCUUCUUAGUGAUCUCAGAAGCAAGAUAAUAAGAUCUGUAACUAUGCUCACUAGGUAGAGUUGGAAUACCGUCUGUUGUUGAAUUAAAAUUCACUUCCGAGACCAUCUUAUUGUUCCUUUUGAAAUGAUCCCAAGUGACGCUCCUGUGAGAAAAACAGCACGGGUCCCAUUGGGUGAUGGAUCUAGAAUAUACUCAUCAUACACAAGGUAUGACUUUGCUGUAAAAAAAAUAAAAACCAGAUUAAAUUGAUUGUCAUAUAAUUGACAAAGAUGGUAAAUUAACAAAAACAAUAGAAAAAAUAAGGAAUAUAUAAAACUAUAUCCUAAUUAAUUGAAUGGAAAAAUAAGAAGGCACACAAGAAAUUACUACCUGGUCCAGGAGGUACUUGAGCCAUGGGGCAAGCUUUGAAGGUGAGUCCACGAAACACUGCAAAAAUAUUUGCAAAGUCAAUCUACUGAUAAAACAAAACGUAGCUGAGCCUAGAUAUCUAAACUUCCUUGUCCUAACACAUCUACAAUAGCAUUAUAACCCUAAAGGUAGCCAUGCUCAUUGGGUUGUAACCUAAGCUGUAACCUCACCAACCCAUUCAUAAAGAAAACAAAUAUAACACCCUCCAGUUCAAACCUCGAUCACCAAACACCGUACCACCCCUAAACUAAUUAUAAAUAUGAGCUAAUUAUAAAACUAAUUACACAGAUGGAGGCAAAUUCGUGAGAUGAAUCUAUUAAGCCUAAUUAAUCCAUCAUUAGCACAUGUUUACUGUAGCAUCACAUUAUCAAAUCAUGGACUAAUUAGGCUUAAUAGAUUCGUCUCGCAAAUUAGCCUCCAUCUGUGUAAUUGAUUUUGUAAUUAGUCUAUGUUUAAUACUCCUAAUUAGUAUCUAAACAUUCGAUGUGACAGUAUUUAAAGAACCAAAAUGGAGGUGCAUCUGAAAGCAAGUUGGCAUCUUAGGACAACUAUCCUUUUUUUUGUCAGUGCAUUCUGAUCUGCACUCGACCUACCUAUCGAUCUCACGUUGAAUUGCGGCGCACAAGAGUACGAGAGAAACAACCAAAAGGCGUUGGCAAUUUGGCAUGGACCCAACCAACAAAUUUCAUUUGCUUCACUCUUCCUUUGCUUCGAUCCCUCUAAAAUUUCGUGAAAUCUUUGCAAUUUGGCAAUGGACCCAACCAACAAUCUGCAUCGAGCUACUUAUCGAUCUCACAAGACUAACAAGAGAUCAAUCAUGAAGCCGCAAGUAGAUGCAAUUUUGCCUUGGGGCCAUGUCAUCAGUUGCACUAAUCAAGCAUUCAAACACCAAUUUAGCCCGCACAAAAUGUCCCCAAACUCAUCAUGCCAGCCAUGUAAGCCUUCAGCUUGUCGUGUACUCCCUCCGUUGUUCCAAAUCGUAUGUGCAUAGUAGUGUAUGUCUAGGGACGGAUCCAACAGUGAGGCGGACGACAGUGGCGGAGGUAGGAAUAAGACCUAGGGGGCUCUCCUUUCUUCCUUCUUGCUUCAUCCCCUCCUUCUCUUCUUCUUCUUCCUCCUCAAAUUUGUAGGAGGGGCUCGAGCCCCCCCUCCUCCCACCCCCACCGCUGGGGGUGGGGCUCAAGCCCUCCUACCGCCGCUCGGACAAUGGAGCCUCCCUCGAGCCCCUUCAUGAUUUUUAGGAAGAAUGAAGAAGAAGAGAAGGGGGGAAGGGAAAGGAAGAAGAGGGAGCUCCUCCUAAGCUCAGGGGCUGCAUCCACCAUUGUGUAUAUCUAGAUGCAUAUUAAUAUCUAUAAACCUACAAAGACCUAUAAUUUGGAAUCGGAGGGAAUAUAUUUUAAACACGACGAAAAAGAUGAUGAGAUUGAGGCCCUGUUUGGUUCUUUAGUCCACGGACUAAAGUGGGACUAAGAUAGUCCGUGUCACAUCGAAUCUUUGGAGGCUAAUUAGGAGGACUAAAUAUGAGUUAAUUAUAAAACUAAUUAGGCUAAACUGCGAGAUCAAUCUAUUAAGGCUAAUUAAUCCAUCAUUAUCAAAUGGUUACUGUAGCAGCAUAUUGUCAAAUCAUGGACUAAUUAGGCUUAAUGGAUUCAUCUCGCCAUUUAGCCUCCAUCUAUGCAAUAGGUUUUUUAAAUAGUCUAUGUUUAAUACUCCUAAUUAGUAUCUAAAUAUUCGAUGUGAUAGGGACUAAAGUUUAGUCCGGGGAACCAAACGGGGCGUCUAUACGUCGAAGACUCUAUCACAAGAAACUAUGCUCCAUAAUGCAAAGUUUGUAACAAUAGUUUCUAUGGAUAAAAUUUUUUAUUAUGCAACACAAAGAAAGCUGAUCAGCUGUGGCAUCUUACCAUGUGAUCCACCCUGCACCUCAACAGCUUGCAACAACCAUAUACGACAUGAUUAAUCAGCAACUGAACAGAGGCAUCCAGAAAUACGGUGUUGUGAUCAAACGGCAAUUGAACUGAUGCAUACAGGAUAUAUAUCACCAGAAGCACAACGCAUACUUUGACACAUACAAGAUAUAUCAGCAAACGCACUGGCAAACACAAUGCCUACAGUAUACACUGAAUGGCAAACAAACUCCACAGAACUUCGAUGAAAGUUUAGAUAGUAGCAAUGAGUCAUCCAUUACAAUAUAUAGCAAUGGAAACUAAGAUAUGAAUUGCAAACUGAAUAGAUAAUACUAAUAUUUAGAUAAUAUUAAGCCAUCCAUCAUCAUCCUGCAUACAGAACUCCAUGUCCAUCAUCCUCCAGCCACUCCAAGCAGAACUGUUAAAAAAUAAGAAUGGGUUAGUAAAUUAACAAAAUUGUACAGGUGGUUGAUUUAACAAAAUCUCAAUGGUUCAGUUAAAAAACAAAUAUCAAUGAUUUUUGAACAUGAAGGCUAAUGUGUAUAUAUAUAUAUUUAAAUGCAUAACUCUACCUAAUUAGUUCGAUUCCCAAACUUUUGCCAAAUGUGAUCAAUCAAAUCAGAUUGUAGUUGCCUGUGAGCUUCACGAUCACGAAUCUCAGCACUUCUCUGUAUUACCUCCUUCAUCACCGGAUCAUAUCCAUGAGCGAUUGUAGACGCCUGAAUAGUAGACGUGGUUCCUUCCUCGUUCAGGUCAAACGAAUCAUCCUCUAUAUCCUUCUCGUCCUCGAUUAUCAUGUUGUGAAGUAUUAUACAAGCUAACAUGAUAUUCUCAAGAUCCCCUUGAUCAUAUAGACAUGCCGGCCGACGCAAAAUGCAAACGAGAUUGUAAAAUACCAAAUGCACAUUCAACAUCCUUUCUUUCCCCCUCUUGAUGUUCUGAAUACAGCUUGUGCUCAGCUGAUUGUGGUGCGCGUAUGGAUUUGACAAAAACAGCCCAGUCUGGGUAUAUUCCAUCUACAAGAUAAUAACCUUUGGUAUAUUGCCUUCCAUUCACAAAGUAUUGCACCCGUGGAGCUUCUCCUCUUAAUUCCUUGACGAACAAAUCAGAAUGACUCAGCACAUUGAUGUCAUUGUUGGAUCCCGCCACUCCAAAGAAAGCAUGCCAUAUCCAUCGGUCAUGCGAAGCAACAGCCUCUAGAAUGAUGGUUGGUACACCAUGAUCACCACGAGUAUAUUGUCCCUUCCGUGCAUUAGGACAUUUUCCCCAAUGCCAAUGCAUACAGUCAAUGCUCCCUAACAUGCUAGGAAAACCACGACGCUCACCGAUCUCCAACAGGCGUUCAACAUCUUGUACUGUGGGGCGUCUCAAGUACUCUUCACCAUAUACUUCAAUGAUUCCCUUAACAAACUUUUUCAAGCACUCCACACCAGUACUUUCUCCCAUCUUCAGAUACUCAUCAAGCUGGUCUGCUGAGCCGCCAUAUGCUAAUUGACGGAUAGCUACCGUACACUUAUGAAUUGGUGAGAACCCGGGACGAUUCAGAGCAUCCGGUCAAGGUGAAAUACUCAUCCCAUCCACUCAAGGCCUCAACAAUCUUCAGAAGAGGGGUCUCCUCAUCCUAAAUCUUCUUCGAAACUGUGUCUCAUUGUAGACUAGAUUAAGAGAGAAGUAGUCAUCCAUUAGUUGCUGGCUGGCUUGUUCACGAGGCCUCUCCACAUAUCGCCUAGGACCACUCCGAGAUCCUCCACCUUGUAUGUCAUCAACAAUGGACUGCAUUUCAGCUACAAGAUAGUCGCCUAAAUCAUCUAGAAUUUCUUGCUCUUGAAGAUAGUCAUCCAUGGAGUACAGAUCAGCAGGGUCCAUGUUGCCAUCUCCAUCCAUGGCAGCAAAGGAUACCGGAGAAUAGUGGAAAGCAGAUUAGAAAGGGAAGCACUAGCAGAAAGGGGAGCAGUAGCAGAAAGGGGACUCAGAAUAGUGCCGUGGCUGUGUGCUAUAUAUAGUCACAAUUGCCGUGGCUGUAUCUAUUCACACUUGCAUGCACAAAACAAGUGGAAGGAGUUCACACUUGCCGUGGCUGUUUCAGUUUCACAAAAAUUAGUGGUCUCAUUUCACAAUUGGAAGGAGUUCACACUUGCAUGCAAAAAACUAAUCACAGGAAUUUAUAUAGCACUGACCAAAGGAUUUCAGUUACCUUACAUAAAUCACUUCCAUGGUCACAUUUGUUUUCACAUUGUAGCUAUUGCAUGAUCAAUUCUAGAAAAGGUACAAGUCCAUCAGUUACCAGUUCAUUGCAAUUGAAUAAGCAAUUAAAGAAGGGUUGACAGUGGCAUACAUUAGGAAAUAAAGCAAGUCUCAUGCUCUCUAGUGCCAAAUUUCUCUCAGCCAAAGCAUCUGCAUUAAGCUGAUCAUGAGGUGUAAGCAGUAGCUGUGUGUAAGUUUCCAGCAUUUUGCACUUCGUUUGUUCAUGAGCUGCUUCAUGACUAAUCUUAGCUGCUUCAAUCUUCUCAGCCAAACUUUGCUGAAUUUCUAUCAUCUUCUCUCUCUCUGCCCUAUUUUUGUUGCUUGCUUCAAUGAACUUGUCAAAUUUAUUGUUCAAAUCAGAUAAGGCGUCAUUUCCCUUUUUGUUGCCUUUCAAUUCUUUUUUGGCUUUCUUCUGUCCCAUUGGUCGCUUUUCUCCAUCUAAGUCCAAAUUCACCACUGCAGAUAGGUUACUGUUAGCCUUUGUACUCUUUUCCUUUUCCUUCUUUAACCUAGCAAUAUAUGCUGACCACUUCUGCUGACCACGUACUACCUUCCACAUAUGCAGCAGAUGGAAUGCCUUACCACUAUUCUGGCCAGCCCACAUCUCUAAUGCUUUGUCAGUCAACUGGUCAUCACUCAUCCCACUUUGCCAUACUCUAUCGGCAUUUACCCAAACGCCAUGAAAAUCAGUUAAUGGUUUCCUAGAGCGAUCCAAACGUAUUUUCAGUUGGUUUCUGUUCCUCUUACGGCUAGUUUCUGUGGUCUUGUUGUAUUCUAUAGUCACAUCUUCCCAAUACCGCUCUACCUUCUUGCCAUUUCCAUCGACUGGGUCCUUUGAAUUACGCAACCAGGCACUGGCCAAUCGUUUAUCUUUUUCAACGGUCCAGUUCAAACGCUUGUCGGUUCUAGCAUCGUCAUCGACAUUAAUUGAUUCAUCGUCUUCUGCACCUACAUCUUUCACUGCAUCAUGAGCUAGACCAUCUUCUUCUUCCGCUGGAGAAUGAGUUCUUGUAGCACCCAGGUCAAUUGGAGACACUAAAGACCGAUUCAUUGCAGCACCAACAAAGUGGAAAUUCUCUGAAAGAUUGGUUCCAUUAGGAUGGUUAAGAAAUGGGUUGGAAUGCAGAAGAUUUGAGAACCCUCCUUGAGGGUAUAACCUGCAACCAUAUUGUUUGUUGUGUGGUAAGGUUGUCUGUUAUUAUCGUAACUUCAGAGAAAACUGAAAGUAACAAUAUAGAGUGGCUCAAUCGUAACCAAAAAGGAAGAGGUGAUAUUAGCAGUCACCUAAUCUCUUCAAAAUGAGAGGAACACUAUUGGCAAAAGGCAUUCAAACUAUUAUCCAUGAAAUAUAUAUAUAUAUAUAUAUACUAAAUUACUAAAAUCCACAGAAUGCAUGCCAUAAAACACUUCAAGAGCAACACGCCGACAUGGCAAGUUGAGAACAACAUAUAGGAAAAAUAAUUGUUAUGAAAUUGGCAUGCCUAGCAACACCACGGCAUGUCAUUUAUGCAUAUAUACAUUCUGCACAUCUGUAACUAAAAUCUAAAAUCUAUAACUACAAUCUAUAAUCUAUAACUACAAAGAAGCUGUGACCAAAAUCUAUAACACCACGGCAUGCCAUCCACGCAAUUCAUCUAGUUAACACAGAAAGCUGUGACUAUAUAUAAAAUCUGUAACUACAAUGCGCAUAGACAAUCUGUGAUCCAUAGAAACGUAUUUCUGUUGACAUACCCUUCACUAGGAGAAGAUGUUGGCCACCAUCCACCAAAGGGGAAAGCACUGAUUGGAGAAGUGGUGACGGGAGCAGCAACACCUGCUGUUGCAGCGCUGCCAGCGGGAAGGCUCUGAGUUGCAGAAGCACCUGCGGCCGGAACACAGGUCCCAGGAGCACGGAUGGCCGGAGGUCGGGUUCCACGACCACCACUGCCCCGCCGGGAACUAGGCUUCGUCAAUCGAUUCAUCCCUAAUUCGAGAUUUGGGUAUGGAUUUGGGUUAAAGCUUGUUGGGGAGGAGAUCAGUUGGGGAGAAGAUUUGGGGAUGGAUUGGGCGUACCUUGAUUUGGAACUGGGUUCCUUUUGUACAGCGGCAACGAGCUGGAGAGCACGGGGGACGAGUCUGGAGAGCGCGGGGGACGAGCUGGAGAGCGCGCGCACGGGAGACCUUGCACGCGGGAAUCGGCGGGCUCCAGCUCGCGCGCGGGAGAAGCGGGAGGAAUUUUGGCGGCGGCGGCGGCAUGGCGUACUGGAUCCGUAGACUCGACCUUCCCCUCCCCCAAUGCGGAGACUGGUGGAGUCUUCCAGCCUCGAACGAAUCGAAGACUCGACGUCUAAAUAAGACGUCGUUUCUCCGUUUUUGCUCCUCUCUCCUCGUUAAAUUACUUGCCACAUCAUCCAAAUGCUUACAUGGCAGUGCAAUUAAUAGGGAUAGACUCCACGAUGAAGUCUGCAUUGUGAGUGCUCUAGGUGUUUGGUUCAAGUGAUUAAAAGUGACUAAAGUCCAUAAAUGCUGUGAGAAAAUGACUAUGCUGCCCUUCCCAGUUGCAAUAAAUGAGGGUGGGAGAGAGAGGGAGCAAUAAAUGAGGGACAGUAGGAGUCCAGAGAGGAUUUUAGUCACUUUUAGGAGGGGGUGGAGGGACUAGAUGAUUUGGAGCCUCGUAAAAGUUUUAGUCAAAUUUAGUCAAGGUGUUUAGCUCUUCAAUCUUUUUAGUCACCACUAAAAUUUUAGGGGGUGGCGACGAACAACCACUGGCUCCAAUAAAUUUGGCAGUGUGUCGGUGAAAAUAGAACCUUUUCAGCUGCACUGCAUUGUUGGCGGCCAGAAAUGGCCCAGGUGGCCUUUCGAUCGGAACCCGCAGCGAAUGGGUGAUGCACAAGUGGAGGCUGUGAUCUCUGACUUUGCAGUGUCUCUGGAUAUUUUCGGUCACUGCUUCACCGAUAGCACACUUCGGCCUUGUUUAGUUCACCUCCAAAUCCCAACUUUGGCACUAUGCAAAAAGAAGAUUCCCCAUCACAUCAAACUUGCGGUACAUGCAUGAAAUAUUGAAUGUAGACGAAAUUAAAAACUAAUUGCACAGUUUUGUUGUACUUUGUGAGCCGAAUCUUUUGAGCCUAAUUAGUCAAUAUUUGGACAAUAAUUCACAAAUACAAACGAAACGCUACAGUGUUGCUACAGUAUUUUUGGCACUCCAAAGUUGGGCAACUAAACAAGGCCGCAAGUUUUCUUUAACGUCUCAGAUCAGUGAGAACUGUGUGCCAGGCAUGUUUUUUUAGGACAGAAAGCGAACAAGCCAUCUCUGCAUGACUGCAUUCUUUGGGGCAUUUGCAAGAAUCCGCUCGAAUGAAAGUUAUGACAGUAUUUCUUGCUUUUUUUUAAUGGCAAGUCUGCAAUAACAAUAUGGAAUGGAAGACCAACAUAUAAAACAACUGUUAGCCAUUUUCCUAAUUUCUUCAUGGAACCAGGUGUAACUUGUCGGUUGGAGGCGCCAAUCCUAAGUUUUUUCGAACAAAAUUUGUAGAGUAUAUACAUGAGGUGGUUCCAAUGUUCCAUUGCUAUACGAUUAAACUUGAUUCGCACGCUUAACUACUAGCCUACGUCUACUACUCCCUCCAUCCAUUUAUUGGCGUCAUUUUACUCUCUUGCGCGAUGACCAAGGGAGGGUUGAAGGAGGACCGAUUAUCAUUUAAUCGCGGUUGGUAGAGAACUCGGUAUUAGUCCCGGUUGGUAGGGUGUAAAUCUUCCGAAAAUCCAUCCAGGAUAAACCAAUCGAGACAAGGGGGGUCUUUUAUCCCGGGUUACUCAACCGGGACCAAAGACCCCCUUUUAUCCCGGUUGGUAAUACCAACCGAGAUAAAACGGGUCACCACGCCAGGCGCCGCAAAAAAAAAAUCCCGAGAGGCUCCCUACACGCGCACGUCGCAAGCCACAAGUCACACGAUUUUUCACGCUGCGUGGGAUUCGAACCCACGACCUCCAGCCUCGCGCGUAGCUUACUUGCCAUCCCACCUAUACAUCACAUUUGAAUAUAUAGGGGAUGCAAUCCUUUUGUAUUAACUCGUGUGGACCCUUUUAUCCUAGUUGGAAACACCAACCGGGAUAAAAGACCCCCUUUUAUCCCGGUUGGUAUUACAAACCGGGAUAAAAGGGUUCGAGGGAUUUACUCCUCUUUCAGCUACCCCGUUGGUCCAACCGGGAUAAAAGAAAAGAUCCCCUUUUAUCCCGGUUGGUAUUACAAACCGGAAUAAAAAGGUUCAAGGGAUUUACUCCUCUUUCAGCUACCCCGUUCGGGACCCUUUUAUCCGGGUUUGAAACACCAACUGGGAUAAAAGACCGGGAUAAAAGGCCCUCGACCCUUUUAUCUCGGUUGGUGUUACCCUUUUAUCCCAGUUGGUAUUUCAAACCGGGAUAAAAGGCCUCUCAGGAUCUUUUUUUUCCACUAGCCUUUGCAACCGGGAUAAAAGAUCCUGGUUGGUGAGCCCCCCGCCAGUGACCGAGCUUUAGUCCCGGUUGGUGAACCUUUUGUCCCGGGUCAACUUUAAACCGUGAUAAAAUGGGGCAUAUGGAAAGUGAGUUCUCUACUAGUGCGUUUUGUACUAAAUGCACCGUGGGCUGUUGGGUUUCCAAGUAAUCUCUCCGCUAACACCGCUCAAAAUGGCGUUAUUGCGCGUCCGCGGCCAGCACGCACGCUUGCCAUCCGCGGCCCUUCCGUUUUCCAUUUUGCCGCGUGAAAAUUGCCGAGAUCAUCUCCUUAUUUGCCGCUGUCAUCCUUGAAGUCAGCUUCACUGGGGUAUACACGGCAUCAGGUUCCAUAGACUUCAGUGAUGUCCAUCUGGGAGUCCGGCACCUCAGUCUCACCUGCAAAAGUAUCCAUCACGAACUGCACCUCGCAUGUUGGCCAUGGGGUCUUCAUCUUUGUUGGUAGAAUUUGGUGCCCAGUUGACACCACGCACGUAAUGGAUCUCAUCGUUGUCGUCUUGGCGUUCCAUCGCAUGCAGGCAUGCAGCAGUGUGGCGGCGUGGAGCCACUCGGCGUUGCGGCGACGUGGAUCGACUCGGCGGCGCGGAGGUGUGGUGUGCUGGACACUUUCACGAAGGCUAAUGGGAGGGAAUGGAGGCGGUAUUUGAAGCAAUGGGAAGACAGCGCCGCAUCAAUUGCCACAUUUUGUAUGAGGAGCCGCGAGCGCCUAGGGACGAGGUCCGUAGCUUAAACGACGCCGACUCUUGGAAAACUUUUUUUUUUCUCAGAUGACUCCGAUAAAUGGACCGAGGGAGUAUUUCCUAAUAUCAGAGUUGUUACCCGAAUGUGAAAUAAUUGUGCAAUUAAACUUCAUCCAAAUCCACAUAAAAAUUACAAACUUACCAUAAAUUGGCCUUGGUUCUCAUGUGGAAGAGGUUUGCGGCAAGGGACCCCUAUCCCCUUAUCUCUUUCUGUUGGUCGCCGAUGUCCUCCAGAAAAUGGCCAAGCAAGAUCCUAGGAUCCCACACUCGGCUGCCCCAGGCCAAUCAUGCCCCGUUUUGCAGUAUGCAAAUGACAUGCUCAUCCUUCUCAGGGCGGACAUGGCUAGGCUGUCGGCGCUGAAGGAAGUGCUCGACGUAUUCUCUCUAGCUACCGAGCUGCACAUCAAUUAUCACAAAAGCACCAUGGUGCCAAUGGGUGUGCCGGCUGCGAUCAGCACUGCUCGCCCAGUUGAGUUUAGCCCUCUUCUCAUUUUUGUUUACCUGCAGAGUCCUUGGUGGAAGGAAUAUAUGAUCUGAGAAAAAUGAAGCGAUUUGUGCUAAAUUGACAUACCAGUUUACUAGUCCUUCAUACUUGCACAUGUGUUCUUUAUAUGUUGAAGUGCGUGGUAUUUGUUCUUUAUGUGCGUGAGAAAAAAAUUGAGUAUAUUGUGUAAGAUAGGAGUUGCAUGGUGUGAAUCAUUUUAGCCGUCUUCUCAUUUUGAGUAUGUUGGUGCUGGUCGAGAAGGAUUAAGCUUAUAUGUAAUAGCACGUGCCUGAUACCCUGAGGAUCAUGGAGUAAUAUUCUGCUACUUUGGAUAAUAUCUUGAUAAUAUAUGCAUACAGCUGCUCUGUCUCCCGCCGUUGCUAUGUUCUCUGCUCUGUCCAGCAAAUAGCUCCAGCAGCGCCUGCCCAAAUAGCUCCAGCAAAUAGCACCAGCAGGAGCAAAUUAACUCUGCGAGCAAUUUCCAAAUAGCACAGGGGCUUUCUUCCCCGGCAGGAUUCACAUGUACUAGGAAAUUCCCCACGGAGCUUUCUUCCCUGGGGUUAAUUUAUUCCUGCUGCCAAACUAGCCCUUAUAGUCGUCUGUCUCUCCAAAGUCCAAAGAAGUUGCUAAAUUAGGCCUUGAUUCGAGUGGUGCUACGUCUUCAUGCUCAAGGGUAAAGCUCAACCAAAAGGAAGCAUCAUUUUUUUUUCUAAACAAAACUGUAUAUAUCAGUGCAUCUUUUGUUGUUACUGAUGACCUGGAUCAGUGCAUGAUAUGAGAGUGUUCAGUGAUGCACUUAAGAAAAUAUGGUGACAAGUUUCCACAUCCUCCUACAGGUAUAAUAAUUUAUCUUCGUUUGUACAAAUAUGUUGUCUAUUUCAGUUACCUAACAAGUUUAUAUUUAUUUGUAGGCAAGUUUUACCUUGUUGACUCGGGGUAUCCUAACCAUCCCGGUUACCUAGCACCGUACAAUGGUACGAAAUAUCAUCUAUCGGAGUUUCGUAAUGGCCCAAUGCCGAAAGGUAUGAAAGCAACAUUUAAUUACGCACAUUCAUCCUUUACAAAUGUGAUAGACAGGUUCUUUGAAAUAUAAAGAUGAAGUGGAGAAUAUUGUUGGGUAUACCUAGUUUCCCAAUGCACAAACAAAGCAAAAUUAUUGUAGCGUGCAUGAUAAUUCACAACUUCAUUAGAGAGAAUGGUAUUGCCGAUAGGGAAUUUGAUUUGUGCGAUCAAGAUGAAAAUUUGUCCAAUAGGUCAGCCAUCAAAUUCUGAACAACAUGAGACGGAGACACAAGCAAGGGAUGAAGACAAUAAUAUAAAUGCAUUCCGAGAUGAACUAGCUCGUGCCAUGUACAACAGAUCUUAGCUAGUGAUUUGAGUGUUGUAAGAAUAAUGUACUUUUUCUUUAAUUUCGUGGUUAAUGGACAUGGUAAUAAACGAUGGAUAUUUUGCAUCAAUUAUGGAUAUUUUAACCGGAGAGAAAAAGAGAGGAAGGGAGCUCCUGCAUGCAAAGAACGGGCCAGGGGGCUCGUGCAUGCGACUGCAUGCAUGCAUGCGCAACGAGCGAAAGGGGCAAGGGCGCAAGGAAACCAGCGAGCAUGCACGGGAGAGGGGCAGCGCGCGGAAACUGAGGGAGGGGCAGCAGGGUAAAAGGAACAAUUUUCACAUCAAGUGUUAAACUUUAACUCCUCACCUAAACAUCGUGCUUGCUAAAAUUUAUCCCAUUUGUUUGAAGCACAGUUAUUGGGACCGGACCGGACCGGCGGUCCGACCAGUAAAAGACCGAACCAGAGCCUCGGCCGGUUCGGUCCGCCUAAAAGAUCGGAUAAGCAAUCGAACCGGAAAAAACCGAUUAAACCGGUGGUUUUUAGCAAGAAACCGAUAUAAAACCGACAAGAAACCGGUACAGACCGGAGAAAACCGAGCGCAAGGAGAAAAAACAGCGCGUAGGGAAGAAAAUGGGAGGAAAAAUGGCGUGGCUGGGGUCCGAACCCCCACCCUUGCCUUCGGCAAUGUGGAUAGCAACCAUCAAGCUGCAGUUGUGUUUGUGAUUUUAGUUGAUAAGUUACCAUAUUUGAACCGUGUUGAACCGGUGGUUCAACUGGUUGAACCAAUCAAACCGCAAACCGAGAGCUUGACCGGUUCAUUGUCUGGUCCGGUUCUAAUAACUAUGGUUUGAAGGAGCCCGUUCCUCCCAAACAAGGCUUAACUCUGCGGGCAAUUUUCAAAUAACACAGGGGGUUUCUUCCCAGCUAGCAAAUUCCCCAAUGGGAUUCACAUCUAGGAAAUUCCCUACCGGACUUUCUUCCGUGGGGUUAAUUUAUUCCUGCUGCCAAACUAGCCCUUGUAGUCGUCUGUCUCUCCAAAGUCCAAAGAAGUUGCUAGAUUAGGCCUUGAUUCGAGUGGUGCUACGCCAAGGGCAAAGCUCAACCAAAAGGAAGCAUCCUUUUUUGUAAACAAAACUGUAUAUAUCAUGUUGUGCUAUGAAUCUUACAAAUCCUAGAUUCGACACUUCUCGUUGUUUAACCGCGAUUAACUUUGAGUGUGUUUUGACUUGGCUGAACCAUGCAUGCAUGCAUCUGGAUUAUUACUGCUCCUGUUUACACAAGCAUUUCAGUUCAUCAGCUGAUGACUCGCUGCAAAAAUGGUGCAGGGCCUGCUGCAGUACUUCCGGCUGCUGGAGGACUGCCUGGACCUCAUCCGCGACCGCGAGUCCCGGGGCAACUUCACCUACGCCGCCGUCCUCCGCACCCGCGUCGACGGCUUCUGGUCUGCGCCACUCCGCCUCGACGACCUCCUCCACGCCGCCAACACCACCGCAAACGACGACGCCUACUACGCCGUCCCGAAGGGCUCCCGCUUCGGCGGCCUCAACGACCGCCUGGGCUUCGGCGGCCGGCGCGCCACGGAGGCCGCGCUCUCCCGACUCUCCAUGCUCCCUCGCCUCGCCGCCGCGGGGUACCACGGCCUCAACUCCGAGGCCGCGUUCCGCGCGCAGCUCGACGUGGCCGGCGUCGCGGGCCGCGAGCGCCGCCUCCCGUUCUGCGUCCUCAGCGACCGCGUCUACACAUUCCCGCCCGUGGCGGGGUACUGCGUCCCCGUGGCGUCGCUGGCGAGCUAGCCCCGACCCGCUCAGCGGUGCCAAGUGCCGGUCGUGCCGCGGCGCGGAGCGUCGACGCGCUGGAGACUGGGUGGAGCUGGAUCGAGCACCGGAACGGGGCGGCCGUGGAGCUCUGUGACACGUCCGGGCCAUGGAUAAUAUUAACAUAUCAUGCUUGUUUGCAGGAAAUUCAAGGGUGGAUGGUUAGUGUUGGUCUUGGUCGGCACCUAAUCAGGCAUCAUAUCGGUCUUUGGUGUACGUUGGCUGUUGCCCCAUCACACCAACAUCGAUCUCAUCUCGAUCGAUCUGACAUGCGUCCCCAUCUUGCUUCCUUUCUGCUCAGUUUACGCCUCCUCGAUCGAUCGAUCCUAUUUUGUCCAAAGCAUGGUUUGGGUACUUGGUAGUGAGCAGCGCACAUUAGGAGCAUUUGGGUUUCUUGGAAGCUGCGGCGCAUGGUGGCACACCAACAGAACAAAAACCAUUCUUCGAUCAGCGUUCUAGGUUGGACUGACUUGGGGAUGGUGGAUCGAUCUCAGGCAACAAGGACAAUUGAGGGAGCUGGCCACUCAGUGGCCAUGGCUGCUCAUUUGCCAGCAGCCCAAUCGAAACGAGUACUAAGCGGCUGCGUGAAGCAACCCCACUUCUUCCCUCGCGGUCCUUCAGUUGCAUGACAUUACGUCUCCAUCCAGGUCAUGUUACCUGUCCUUCCGGUGACAUGACAUUGUGUGCGCCCCGAACAAUGAUCUGGAUCCUCAGCUCGACGAGGGGCCCGGCCGGCAGGACGAUGGUGCACGGCGGGCGUGUUCCGGCUCAAUGCCGUCGCCACAGCACGGUUCAAUUGGACGCCGGCGCCGGCGCCGGCGCCGACCGCGCAGCUCGUGCUCCGUCGCGCCGCUAGCUCGCGCAUAUGUAACCGACCGAUAGAUACAUAGGAGGAAGCCGCCACUUCGCCGCUCCUGCACACCUGACCUCUCGCCGCCUCCGCCGCCGCCUCUCCUUGCCGGUCGUGGGUCUCCAGCGUCUUCGUCGGUAAGGCACCUCAUCACCUUACAAAUCCCCCGAUCUAUCCUCACAGAGGUCGCCAUGUCCGCCGAUCAUCUAAUUUAAUUUCCCGAUCUGCUGCUGUCUCAAGGUCGCCAUGUCCGCCGCCGCCGCCGCCGGGGGGUUCCCCAACUGGGUGCUUCUGGAGCCCUACGUCUUCCGCAGGGACGAUGACGAGUCCUUCCCGGAUGAGACCCAUGCGCCCAUCAGGGCGUCCGGCACCACCUCCUGGGGCGCCGACUUCCGCAUCGCCUUCUCCCUCGCCGAGCCCCCGCUCAUCUCCCGCCUCUACGCGCAGCUGCCGGGCGUCCCGGGUCCCCGCAAGGCGAGGCCCUUAGCCAUGCUGAAGACCCACCGCCAUCUUGCCCUGCUCGUCGUCAUCUCCCCGACGUCUGAUCAACCUGUAAUUCACGACUUCUUCAUCUUCAGAGCCGACGAGAACAACCCUUCCUCAUCAUCCUCGCUUAGAUUGCUCCCCCAUUGUACCGACACCAAGUUUGAUUAUUCCCGCCGCGAUCACCGCCUACCUCGUCGUCGAUCUUCCAGUGCUACUCCCCGCCUGCUGAAUAUGCAUUCCUUGGGCCUAUGGUGCGGAGACAAAGAGGAGUUCGUGGUGGCACAGCUCAAUCUUUGCGUACCCACCAUUGGCCGCAGCCGCAUCAAGGCCUUCGCUGACAUCUGCUUGCUGCGCUCCUCCGAUCAGCUUGGCGGCAAUUGGGAGUCCAUGCGUGUGCCAAUCCUCAACCCCUCUGCUGAUGAUCUCUGGAAACUCUCCCAGUGGCAGAACACCGCCAUCAUCCCCUUCCAACGAUGGCUGUGCUGGAUCGACUACAAACGAGGCAUCCUCUUCUGCGACGUGUCCGGUAAAGUGCUCGCCCCUACCGUCUCCUUCCUCUGGUUCCCUGAGGACAAGCCCUCUCUUACCAGAACCCGCAAAAUAACCAUGUGCGGCACCAUCGCUGGCAUGUCUGUCGUCGACCACGGCCGUUUGCUCAAGUUCGUCAAGGUCGCCCGCGAUGAUGGCCGUUACUAUGAAGCGCUCAAACCCGGCACUGGCUUCACCAUCACCUGCCACACCCUCGUGUUAGCAGGCGGCAGCAUGGCGUGGAAGGAGGACUACACUGUCACCUCUGGUGACCUCCCUGACUGCUACCAACGCGGCAUCCCCAUGCACCCUCAAGUUGACAUUGACAGGCCGCAUGUGGUGCACUUCCUUUUCAUUGAGUUUUUUGGUUUAGCCUACGAGAAGAUGUCGGUGCUCUCCAUUGACAUGAGCACCAAGACCAUGGUGUCAUGUUAUCUGUAUAUGAAUGGGAAUGAGAUCCUUCGCCGUGGCGAUAAGUGCUGUCAACCCGACGUCGACAUUGACUUCGUCAUAUCAAAGUGCUUGGCUCCCUCUCCAUUGCCCUUCCCUGCUUGUGAGUUCCCCAGGUUCUGCAAUUUAUCAAGGUAUGUACUAUUGCUGCUGCAUGCCCUUUUAUAAAUAACUCAAUAGAUUUUGAUUCUGCCGGCCGGUUCCAUAUUUGAAUAUUGCUGCAAAAGUUUGUGUCCAUGGCUUCAAUCUUGCAUUGUUGGCAUCUCAUAUGUUGUAGUAUAGCCUCUUUCUCCAACCUGCAGAAUACUAGCGUAGCCUGCAGCCUACUAAACAUUUGAGCCUUGAAGCUUAUGAUUGGAACAUAAGAGCUGCCUGCCAAUAUAUAUAUGCCUUCUUUUAUAUGCUGUUGGAAAUU